GGUGGUUCUCGAGUGAUGCACCCCAGAAUCGGGCUCCCUCCUCUCUGGUUCUGGGUGUGUCACCCAAGAACUGCA
rfam:Myotis brandtii contig266096, whole genome shotgun sequence.